rnacentral:lncRNA from 1 species
UACACCGCUCCUAAUCAUUGGGUUCCAUUUGUUCGCAAGAUGAAGCUCAUAAAGAGGAAAUUGUUGAUCGGAGUCGAUCACUUUAACCGAGAUCCAAAAAAGGGUAUGGAAUUUCUCCAAGGAGUGCAUUUGUUACCUGAGAAACAGUCGAUCACUUUAACCAAGAUCCAAAAAAGGGUAUGGAAUUUCUCCAAGGAGUGCAUUUGUUACCUGAGAAACUUACCCCAAAAAGCGUAGCAUGCUUUUUCAGGUAUAUGAAUGGCAUAGAUAAGAAUCUUAUCGGGGAUUUCCUGGGAAGUCAUGAAGACUUCUAUAUUCAAGUGCUUCACGAAUUUGCUGGAACAUUUG